UCAGGCCUAACACAUGCAAGUCGAACGGCAGCACGGGGGCAACCCUGGUGGCGAGUGGCGAACGGGUGAGUAACAUAUCGGAACGUGCCCUGGAGUGGGGGAUAACUAGUCGAAAGAUUAGCUAAUACCGCAUACGAUCUACGGAUGAAAGUGGGGGAUCGCAAGACCUCAUGCUCGUGGAGCGGCCGAUAUCUGAUUAGCUAGUUGGUGGGGUAAAGGCCUACCAAGGCGACGAUCAGUAGCUGGUCUGAGAGGACGACCAGCCGCACUGGGACUGAGACACGGCCCAGACUCCUACGGGAGGCAGCAGUGGGGAAUUUUGGACAAUGGGGGCAACCCUGAUCCAGCAAUGCCGCGUGUGUGAAGAAGGCCUUCGGGUUGUAAAGCACAUUGUCAGGAACGAAACGGUGGGGGCUAAUAUCCUCUGCUAAUGAC
rnacentral:rRNA from 1 species